rnacentral:rRNA from 1 species
UGGGGAAUAUUGGACAAUGGGGGAAACCCUGAUCCAGCGACGCCGCGUGUGUGAAGAAGGCCUGCGGGUUGUAAAGCACUUUUAGUGGGGACAAAAAGUCACGGGCUAACACCUUGUGAUCUUGAUUUAACUCACAGAAAAAGCACCGGCUAACUCUGUGCCAGCAGCCGCGGUAAUACAGAGGGUGCGAGCGUUAAUCGGAAUUACUGGGCGUAAAGCGCGCGUAGACGGUUUGGUAAGUCAGAUGUGAAAUCCCCGGGCUCAACCUGGGAACUGCAUUUGAUACUGCCUGGCUAGAGUAUCGAAGAGGGAAGUGGAAUUUCCGGUGUAGCGGUGAAAUGCGUAGAUAUCGGAAGGAACACCAGUGGCGAAAGCGACUUCCUGGUCGAAUACUGACGUUCAUGUGCGAAAGCGUGGGGAGCAAACAGGAUUAGAUACCCCCGUAGUCC